GACGAACCGUGCGAACGUUAUUCGGAAUCACUGGGCUUAAAGCGCGUGUAGGCGGAUGGGAACGUCGGUCGUUGAAAUCCCCCGGCUUAACCGGGGAACGGGCGCCGAUACGACCCGUCUGGAGGAACGUAGGGGGAGCUGGAACUUCCGGUGGAGCGGUGAAAUGCGUUGAGAUCGGAAGGAACGCCCGUGGCGAAAGCGAGCUCCUGGACGUUUUCUGACGCUGAGACGCGAAAGCCAGGGGAGCGAACGGG
rnacentral:rRNA from 1 species